UCUCUCCCUCUCUCUCUCUGAAUAAGCAAGCUUUUGCCUCUAAAAGUCACAAGAGAUCCUCGUGUGUGACAGAUAAAGAGAGAGGAGAGACGAGCUUGCGGAGAGGAGCGACAGGCAGGAGCAUCAGGCACCGCGGCUGCGAGAAGAAACUUGACGGUUCUGGGCCACCAUUUAUUUGUCUGGGCCUCGCUCGAGAAUCCGAAAAAAAGAAGGAGCCUGUUUCUGUACUGCGGCCACCCUGUGACUGUGGAUCUGGUCUUUUGGCUGGCACCUCGGUUCCUGUUCAGCUGGAUUUAGGAGGCAACACUGCCUAACACAGGCAAGAGAGCAAAUGAGACUACAAAGAAGCAUAAAAUGAAUAGACCAUUCAGCCACCCUACCAACCAAAGACCGAGGGCAGCAGCACACCAGCAAGAUCGCGUCUUCUCCUCCCCUGCAUAGAAGCCCAGUGAAAUCCAGGAUCUUUCCCUUAAAACACAUACACACAAGAUAUGUGCCAUCAAGCUGCCUCCGCUUGGUAAAAAGCUCAAGGUGCCUAAUCCCAAAGGAUCAGAAGCAGAUCCCUGAAUCAUCUGUCACUUCUUCUAGAGAAUGGGAUUUUUUGUUUUUGUUUUUUUGUUUGUUUUUUGUUUUUCCUUCCUCCUUAAUCUGCACUGGAAAUGGCCUUUGGCUUUACACAUCUCUAUAGAGAGAGGCCAAAAAAAAAAAAAAAAAGUCUUGCCUGAGAAUGAAGCAAUUUACAAUGCAAAUAAAGGCCUGUGGAGGGAUGGAUGCUGCCGGUCAGUCCUAACUGCUUGCUGCACUGCACCUUAAUAGCUGGUUUUCUUUUCUGAUACUAAUAGUUGAAUUAUUGGCUAACACUUCGAAGAUCACUUGCUGAAGGAAAAAAAAAGUUUGGAAUAAACUUUGAAAGCAACAGAUCUCGACUGGAUGUCUUAGAUUCACACACAAACAGAAACCAGGUCAUAUUUACAUACAAGGAGGAAUCUUAUGCUCAGCAAGUAUCCUGAAGGACUACUCUUCAAUUCUGCCAGAAAGGAUCCGGAUUUGGAGUCUGGCCAGAGGAAGACAGAGGCAUGUGAGGGAAGUGAGUUGUUAUCUUUGGUUAUCUAGCUGUAUGAGUGUAUUGGUCUUCAUAAAGCUAGAUAACCGAAAGUAAAAACUCCUUCAAGAUCGCCGGGGAGUAUGUGUGAAUGAAAAGACUGCAACCAAGAGACAGUAAAAACCAGAAAGGUCAGGAAUACUUAUUGAAUCUAACUUUGCUUUUGUUUUGUUUUGUCCUUCAUCUUCUUUUUUUCUUUUUUCCUUAUGAUCAAAGUUGGGGUUGUAGGAAGUUAAGUGAUACACAGAUGUCAAAUUAUAAAGGUGUCAGAUACUUUGGGAGGUGUCUUAAAGCUGCAAAGGGCAAUUGUGCAGUGCUGGUGAGUAACUGUGCAUGUGCAGUUUACCCUGCUUUAAGGGAAAAGUAUGAUUACAAAUAGUAGGGUUUUUUUUUUUUUUUUACCUUUUCUUUUUCUCCUAGAAAGCUGUUGUAGACAUGUCUGGGAUUUAUUUUUAAAAGUGGUUAUAUAGUAUAUAGACUUAGGUAGUUACCUCCUGGGGUCCUCUUCUCUGAAAAUUGUUUAAUGAUUAUACUUGGAAAUGAUAUGUAUUUGGGUUAUAUGACAGAUCCUAUGAAAUUAGACUUUCAGGAAACUUUAUACUGGAUGGUUAAUAAUUUAUAUCUUCUGAGGACAGAGCUAGCAGGGAAAAUGAAAAAAAAAAGGCUGAUUUUUUUAUUCUUCUAUUCAAAGUACAAGGACAGAUGCUUCUCUGUUCCAAGAGGGUUUCCUUGAGGAAGCUACUGAAGCAGAAAGACAUGAUGGAGACGAGAUCGCCUCCCCUCUUGUCAAAGUGUAAAAAAAAAAAAUGUUCUGUCUUACUCUGUGCCUAGCAUUGGAAAUGAAAGUGACAUUUACGCCACAGCCCACGUGUGCGCCUCCUCUCUUUUUGUUUAAGGAUGAUCAGGUCUGUCCAGGAAACAGCUCUGGCAUCCCAAACUGAAAUAAUUAGGACGUAUAUAGACCUGACAAAAAUGGAAAGGGGGUGGGGAAUCCGAGGGUCUGUCCUGCCUAAUUGAUUCCGCUAAACGGAAUGCAGGAGAUGUGAACGGCAGGACGCUCCGAUUCCCACGCUCGGGGGCAAGUGGUAAAGCGGGCAGGCAGCCUAUGACAGACAGCCCUGUUGGGGGGUGGGGGGUAUGAAAAAAAAAAAAAAACCAUCAAGUGCACACACCAUACUCAUCUCCAUCGCUAAGAAAGUAGAGGCAUUUCCCACCCACAGCCAUCUGCAGCCUCUCAAAUGGCAACACCAACUGGUCUGUAGCUGCUGCGUGCUGUCUGCUUCUGUUAAUUUUUAUAACUGCUGUUUGAUCUGCCCAUGAUGAAGUCUGGCUUUCUCCUUCAGUCAAGACUUUCAGUCUUUAAAGAAAACUGGUAGAAAAGCGGUUCCAGGAAAGUCCCAUAACUGCCUGCCCCUCUGGUCAAACUCUCAGCCUGAAGUUUUAGCCUUGUGACCUCCUUUCCUAACGUUUUGUUUUCAAAAGUUGUAUUUAAAAACACAUAUAACUAUCUCUUGGUUCUUAUCACCACAUCAACAGGUUAUUUACCUUUUAGCUUGAUACAUUUAGGAGCUUGGCCUAAUUAUGGUAAUAACACACAAAAAGUAAAACCAGAAAGUUGAUUACAAUUAUAUAACCCUAGCUAGAUUUAUUGUCAGUAGCAAUUUUAAUUUAAUCUAAAAGAUGACUAUGUUUAGCAGACAUCUGAGGAUGGUGGGGAUCCCCACUGUCAUCUUUCCAGAAAAGUUUACAUUUUUCCACUUCACCAAGCAAACAUUUUUACAGAAUAGCACAUGGCCUUUCAUCUACUAUCUGUUCUGAAUGAAUCACUGGCAAUCUCAAAUAUUUUUUUUUCCUUGAGAAGCACUGCAUUUUCUUUGUAGUUUCAGCUCUUACUAGACUUCAGAUUAGAGAAACCUAUUUAGAAACACUGUUAGUAUCAGUUAGAAACUCUGAGAAACUUUAUUAACAUACAUUCUGAAUUUGGCUUCUGAACACGUGCCAAAGUUUUACUACUGUAGUGACCAUUUGGAAGACCCUUGUUUAUUUACAUUUGAAGCACUAUUUGUGCAAACAAUCUUUCAUUGUUAAGUGCCUGUAUUCUUUUCAUUUACUUCAUGUCCAGGGGUGCUAUUUACCUAGAACCAUUGUCUACUACAAUUAACAUUUACAUUACAAAGUGUGUGGUUUUCUUUCUCAAGGAGGUUCAAUUAAGGCAAUAAGAUGUUUGCUGGGGAAACCUAUUGUUUACUGAAAGCACUCAAUGGAGUCAAAUUACUGAAGCUUUUGCCUGCAUCUUGGUCUUUUAUGUAAAUGUGUUAAAUAUAACAUCUAAGGAAAAUAAACAAUAUUAUAAUUAUAUGUUUGCCAUUGUCAUAUCAAACUUGCUUUGUAUCAUACUAAUGUUACAUGACUUAUGAUAAAUAAAAAUACAUUUCAGUGUUA